AUUGAACGCUGGCGGCAGGCCUAACACAUGCAAGUCGAACGAGUGGCGGACGGGUGAGUAAUGUCUGGGAAACUGCCUGAUGGAGGGGGAUAACUACUGGAAACGGUAGCUAAUACCGCAUACCAUCGGAUGUGCCCAGAUGGGAUUAGCUAGUAGGUGGGGUAACGGCUCACCUAGGCGACGAUCCCUAGCUGGUCUGAGAGGAUGACGAGGCACAAUGGAACUGAGAAACGGCCCAGACUCCUACGUGAGGCAGCCGUGAGGAAUAUUGCACAAUGGGCGCAAGCCUGAUGCAGCAAUGCCGCGGGUCUGAAGAAGGCAUUCGGGUUGUAAAGUACUUUCAGCGGGGAGGCGUUACCCGCAGAAGAAGCCCCGGCUAACUCCGUGCCAGCAGCCGCGGUAAUAC
rnacentral:rRNA from 1 species